GCUGGGCAUGGUGGCGCGUGCCUGUAAUCCCAGCUACUCAGGAGGCUGAGGCAGGAGAAUUGCCUGAGCCCAGGAGGCUGAGGUUGCGGUGAGCCGAGAUUGCGCCAUUGCACUCCAGCCUGGGUAACAAGAGCAAAACUCUGUCUCAA
rnacentral:sRNA from 1 species